UACGUAGGGGGCGAGCGUUGUCCGGAUUUAUUGGGCGUAAAGAGCUCGUAGGCGGUUUGGUAAGUUGGAUGUGAAAUCUCCAGGCUCAACUUGGAGGGGUCAUUCGAUACUGCCAUGACUAGAGUUCGGUAGGGGAGUGUGGAAUUCCUGGUGGAGCGGUGAAAUGCGCAGAUAUCAGGAGGAACACCCGUAGCGAAGGCGGCACGCUGGGCCGGAACUGACGCUGAGGAGCGAAAGCGUGGGGAGCGAACAGG
rnacentral:rRNA from 1 species